rnacentral:rRNA from 1 species
UACGAAGGGGGCUAGCGUUGCUCGGAAUCACUGGGCGUAAAGCGCACGUAGGCGGAUCUUUAAGUCAGGGUGAAUCCAAGGCUCAACCUUGGAACUGCCUUUGAUACUGGGAUCUCGAGUCCGGAAGAGGUUGGUGGAACUGCGAGUGUAGAGGUGAAAUUCGUAGAUAUUCGCAAGAACACCAGUGGCGAAGGCGGCCAACUGGUCCGGUACUGACGCUGAGGUGCGAAAGCGUGGGGAGCAA